rnacentral:rRNA from 1 species
AACGAACGCUGGCGGCAGGCCUAACACAUGCAAGUCGAGCGCGCCCUUCGGGGUGAGCGGCGGACGGGUGAGUAACGCGUGGGAACGUGCCCUUCUCUGCGGAAUAGCCUCGGGAAACUGAGAGUAAUACCGCAUACGCCCUUUGGGGGAAAGAUUUAUCGGAGAAGGAUCGGCCCGCGUUGGAUUAGGUAGUUGGUGGGGUAAUGGCCCACCAAGCCGACGAUCCAUAGCUGGUUUGAGAGGAUGAUCAGCGACACUGGGACUGAGACACGGCCCAGACUCCUACGGGAGGCAGCAGUGGGGAAUCUUAGACAAUGGGGGCAACCCUGAUCGAGCCAUGCCGCGUGAGUGAUGAAGGCCUUAGGGUUGUAAAGCUCUUUCAGCUGGGAAGAUAAUGACGGUACCAGCAGAAGAAGCCCCGGCUAACUCCGUG